UACGUAGGGUGCGAGCGUUGUCCGGAAUUACUGGGCGUAAAGGGCUCGUAGGCGGCCAACUAAGUCAGACGUGAAAUCCCUCGGCUUAACCGGGGAACUGCGUCUGAUACUGGAUGGCUUGAGAUUGGGAGAGGGAUGCGGAAUUCCAGGUGUAGCGGUGAAAUGCGUAGAUAUCUGGAGGAACACCGGUGGCGAAGGCAGCAUCCUGGACCAACACUGACGCUGAGGAGCGAAAGCCAGGGGAGCAAACGGG
rnacentral:rRNA from 1 species